rnacentral:rRNA from 1 species
CCUACGGGAGGCAGCAGUGGGGCAUAUUGGUCAAUGGGCGCAAGCCUGACCCAGCAACGCCGCGUGAAGGCAGAAGGCUCUCGGGUUGUAAACUUCUUUUAUGAGGGACGAAAGAAAUGACGGUACCUCAUGAAUAAGCCUCGGCUAACUACGUGCCAGCAGCCGCCGUAAUACGUAGGUGGCAAGCGUUCUCCGGAUUUAGUGGGUGUAAAGGGCGUGUAGGCGGGACUGCAAGUCAGAUGUGAAAUUUAUGGGCUCAACCCAUAACCUGCAUUUGAAACUGUAGUCCUUGAGUGAUUGAGAGGCAGGCGGAAUUCCGGGUGUAGCGGUGAAAUGCGUAGAUAUACGGAGGAACACCAGUGGCGAAGGCGGCCUGCUGGACAUUAACUGACGCUGAGGCGCGAAAGCGUGGGGAGCGAACAGGAUUAGAUACCCGAGUAGUC